UAAGGGAUCAUCAAUCAGUGUGGAUGAAGCGGAGGAGACAGGUUAAAGAAGGAUUUUUGGGAUCCUGUCGGCCAAUAAGAGGCAGCGGUAGCAACAGGAACGAACGGGCCAGAAAUGGCCAGGAGUAGUGCGGAUAAAAUGGAGGAAAUUGAGGAAAAGAUGGUGAAGCAACAGCUGUGCUGGAGUGCAAACAAUAUGGGUGUCAGUUCUGAUGAUAUGGAGCGGGAGGAUAAGGGUCAAAGACCGGAAUAGUCGGUAGUGGAAAGACGGAGGAAGAAGAAAUAUCACGAUACAGAACGCAAUGGAGCAUCUAGUAAAGAAAGCAUAAAGGGAGCCAAGGUGGACCUACUGUCAGACUGAUGAAGCUUCCAUGACUGCUCCUGUACUAGGUGGACCUACUGUCAGACUGAUGAAGCUUCCAUGACUGCUCCUGUACUAGGUGGACCUACUGUCAGACUGAUGAAGCUUUCAUGACUGCUUCUGUACUAGAUGGACCUACUGUCGGGGUAGGUGCUUCUGAUGGUCCUGGCGUGGUUUCGAGGCCUGUAUUCGGAAAUCUUGUUAUUUAUAUGUGUCAAAUUACACUUUGAUAAUGAAUAAAGUUGACUUCAUAGCUUUUAUUGGUAAGGUUAUCAAUACGACUCGGUGUGGAAAGCAGAAAUGCCAGUUUGAAGGUUAUUGUGGAGACUGCAAAAGAGAUAUUGGGGUAACGAUGUUACUGUUGAAAUCCUAUGGGUGGAAUGUUUCAGUAUGAUAUAGAUAAAGGUUGGUGAGGGGAAGAAGUUAGUAGGGAUGUAUUUGUAUUUUAUUUUCAUUGGAAGUACAGAAUUGUACAGGUCAUGAUUGAUCGUACAUUCCAGCACAGUAGGUGGCGGCAUGCACUUAAACAAUUGUUUACAGACCUCCAUGAUAUAGAAGAAAGAUUUUUCAACCUUGAGACAUGGAUUGUGUGUGUACCAUUCAGAGGGUGAAAGGGUGAAGGGGGCCAGGACCGAGUCAUAGGAAUGUCAUGUAUAGAGCUAGCCAUGAUUCGUUACUCUACAUAGAACCCUCCUCAAUAAUCUCCUGAAUACAAUACAUUUUGGACCCUAACGGUUAUUUCGCUGUGGUGCUGAGGGCCAGUCACAACAUGUUCUAUUCAAGGUUACAGGGAUAACAUUUUCAGACUGCUGUUUCAGACUCAAGGCCUCUCAUUUAAGCCCUACUAGCACCAGAUUUGUAUUACUAUAGAGCGUUAUGUAUUACUACAGAGCGUUAUGUAUUACUAUAGAACGUUAUGUAUUACUAUAGAACGUUAUGUAUUACUAUAGAACGUUAUGUAUUACUACAGAACGUUAUG